GCCCCCAUCGUCUAGCUCGGCCCAGGACACGGGAUUCUCAUUCCCGAGACACGGGUUCAAAUCCCGUUGGGGGUA
rnacentral:tRNA from 1 species